rnacentral:rRNA from 1 species
GAGUUUGAUCUUGGCUCAGGACGAACGCUGGCGGCGUGCUUAACACAUGCAAGUCGAACGGUAAGGCUCCAGCUUGCUGGGGUACACGAGUGGCGAACGGGUGAGUAACACGUGGGUGACCUGCCUGCACUUCGGGAUAAGCCUGGGAAACUGGGUCUAAUACCGGAUAGGACCGCACCGUGAGGGUGUGGUGGAAAGUUUUUUCGGUGUGGGAUGGGCCCGCGGCCUAUCAGCUUGUUGGUGGGGUAAUGGCCUACCAAGGCGGCGACGGGUAGCCGGCCUGAGAGGGUGGACGGCCACAUUGGGACUGAGACACGGCCCAGACUCCUACGGGAGGCAGCAGUGGGGAAUAUUGCACAAUGGGCGGAAGCCUGAUGCAGCGACGCCGCGUGGGGGAUGACGGCCUCGGUUG